GACUUGGUUCUUGCCCUUGAGGAUCUUGCCAGCUAGCCUCGGAGGAAAGACACACAAACGUUAUCUCAACAUAAGGUCCUUCUAGUUAUGGCAUGUGGGACACUGCCUCAGCGUGGUUUGAUGAGCAGUGCCAUGUCCUCGCCCAGGAUUCCAACGAAACACUGGGCCACCUGCAGCGGAGCGCGCAAACUUAACCACUGAGCCACCGGGCCAGCCCCCUGGCAGUCUCUACACGGCCCCAUGUCGAUGCCCACUGAUAAUUACUUAUCUCUGAAGGAAGCAGUUCUCCUGAGCCGGCUCAUCUGGGACCAGUGCGAGGCGGGGACGAGGGAGGGAGCUGCAGAAAGACCACGCCCUCCACCCGGGCUUGUCCUCAGCCCUCGGGCUUCCCUCUUCUGAGCUCCCCUAAAUCACACAGGGUGAUGGCAGCCUCUUCCUUCCAUCCACCCCGCUGAGGCAGACCGUCUUAGGGAAAAGCUGGGUCAUAGACAAUAAAAAUAGCACACGGAUUCGCCUUCAGUUUUACCUCCUACAUUUGGGAUGGGUCUGCGUCUAGGCUCCUCCCUGCUCAACGGCCCAUCAGCCCGGUGCCCACCUGCUCCCCUACCGCUGGCACAGGGCCAGACCCUGGGGCAAAGCGAGCACUCCAGAACC
rnacentral:lncRNA from 1 species